AUUCCAACACCGCCCGGCUCGCUAGCUUCCUGCUCCUCCUCUCCUCCCCUCCAUCUCUCGAGCACCGACCGAGAAGGUAGCUAGCUAGCGAGAUGGCGGCCACCCUCAGGCUCAGGAUCCUCGCCGCGGCCGCCACCGCCGCCGUCGUGGCCUCGUCGCUCGUCGGCGUGGCCACCGCGUCCGAGGCACCGGGCCCAUCCCCCGCCAGCUCCACCGGGGCCGCCGCCGCCGCCGUCACCGGCCCGGCGCUCGCUGCCGGCACGCUCGCUGUGGCCGCCGUUGGGUACCUCUUCAGCUGAGCUCCUCCGGCUGCAGGGCCGGCCGCGCGCGUGUUGCCGCCCCCGGUCCCGGAGUGAUACAUAAUAAUAUAUACCAGUUCAUCGCUUCUUGUACUUGAAUUUUACCAGUAUUUUCAUCUUGGGUGUGUUUUGAUCGCUUCACGCACGCGAGUCGCCAGUUGGGAGAGUGUGUGUGUGUGUCUUGGGUUGUUGAUUCAUGUGUACUCUCCAACGAUCAACCUGUUUACACCGCUAUAUAUAUUAAUGCAGUGAGUAUA